rnacentral:miRNA from 1 species
UUCCUUCCGGUCAACAAGGAUGUACCUUUUUGAUCGGAAGGAAACCCUUCUGAUCAAAGAAGCACAUUGCCUUGUUUGGUCAACAAGGAUGUACCUCUUUGAUCUGAAGGAAACCCUUCUGAUCAACGAGGGUCAUUGCCUUGUUGACUGGAAGGGU